CCUUCCUUUGCAGGUGUUACAACUCAGGACUCGGCUCCCGGCCCGCAGACAGGGCAGGCAGCCAUCUGCCUCUCCGCCUCCGAAGCGCCUGCAGGGUUGCACCAGGGACCAGCAGCAGUGUCUCCAUGAAGGCAGCACAGCACAGCGCUGCUCACGACUGCCCAACACAGCGUGCUGCAGAAUGUCCUCUGAGACUGCACCGACCCAGGAAUGGGAACUGCAGUCUUUUUGAAAAGGACAAGACAGACAGCAUGCAGGACUGCUUCGGGCAGGGACUUUGCAGAAUAUUCCAGCACCUCUUUCCUAAAGAGAAAAGCUCUCCAUUAAAAAAGCUUACCUUGGAAAUGGACGUAUGAGUGAGAGAGAGACAUUUGGCAGUUUUGUUACAUGAGCAUUAGCUCGCUUUACUGCGCUUAGUAAGACUUCGGUUCCACACAACUGCCCCAGAAUUGUGAACAGGAGGAUGAAGACACAGGAAAACAAGACAAGUGCCAAGUACGUGAAGAGUGCACUUGCUGCUCAGGUAGAGUUAGAAAGCCCUCCUCCCAAGAAAAUGGCCCUUAAGUAUUGUCUAACCACGCACACAUUUGAAUUGGGACUCAUUGGCUGCCUUGUGUAUGGGAAACGCUACGAGUGCAACCAGCUGACAGGAACCCAGAAGGUCUCAGUCUCCAGUCUGUCAAAGGUUGCCUUAAGCUCACUGUAGGCUGUUGCCAGGUCAUCAUUGAUGAUCACCUUAUCAAAGAGGUGGCCGUACUGGCUCUCCAUCACCUGGGCAGACUUAAUCAUCUCUUGAAAAUCUUCUUCCUAAUGAGAUCAAUGAAGAGAAUAGUCAGU
rnacentral:lncRNA from 1 species